GGCGUGCUUCUGAGAUCUCAUUAGGCCCUUGACCAUACAUUUAUCCGAGAGGAUAAGAAGAAGGUUGGUGACCGAGCUAUCAUCAAAGAUUAAUGGAAAGUAUAAAAGAGAAAUCAGAGAUGCUGCCUGGCCUGCUGAGUUCCUCCAGCAUCUCAUUUGCAGUUAUUGUUCCCAUGAUGUACGUCUGUAGAGGAGAUUCACCAGGAUGCUGCUUGGUAGGGUCAGUGAGCAAAGGGGCGUGCUAUGUCGGCGCCAGAAGUGUUUCGACAUUUGCGGGCUGCCCCCAGCGCAUCCACAGAAUGCUGGCAUUUGAUGCCAACCGUGC